AUGGGUUAUCAGUUUCCUUUCAACAAACAGAGCGCAGCCCUCCCACUUUGCAGUCAGAAGGAGAUGAAGAAAACAUGGGUUGAUACACAUCAGUCACUCAUUCGAGCCACUUGGCACCAUAAAGGCACCUUUUCCCUCCGAGUUUGCUCAGCCUGGUCUCUCAGCAGCCCCCAGCCCUACUGUCCGGCCGCUCUGGCUCGAGGCUUGCAGCGGCUGUGCACGGAGUUGGGCCCAGCGCAGCCGUGCGUGGGCUUCUCCAGCUGCAGGCCGCAGGCGUUCCUUGUUCCCCCAAACCACCAUGAUCCCUCUCCAUUGCCCCUUCAGGUCCUUGUGCACUCCCCAGAUUCUCCUGCCUAAGCCCACGUCCCUGCAGGUCCCCCAGCCUCUGAGGUGGCCCAAGGGAGAGCCUCUCCCGUCGGCUUGGCUAGGGGACCGUGGGAUGGUGACUCUCCAGCGUCAGCCCUGAGGAUAAGAGGAGAUGCGGCAGGGGGCUCGGGGGUCUCCAGUUCAGUAUCAGUGCUCACGGAGCUGAGCCUUAAUCCCAUAACCUAACAGUCACCGACAUAAAAGGAAAACCUGAAGGGACUUCACCAUCUUCUCUCCUCCUUCAGCAUUUCCCAGCCAUGUUUCACCUCCUGGGAGGGCCGCACACCCCAAGCAGGAAAAUUUAUGUUGCUGCAAGCCGCUUCUAAGGGGUCUGUGGUAGUGUGUGGCUGCAGGGUGCUGAGCUCUACAGUCCCACCCCUGAGGAAGGAGCUGCAGGAUCAUAGCAGCCCAGGCGGAGGAUUACCUUAACCGCUGGCUGUGGAGAUCAGCGCUUCAUCACAUAGCCUAGCACCAAGCACCAGAAUCGAAUGCCCAAAACAUAACAGGAACAUCACUUCAGAGUGAUUCUGCCACAACCAUCUAAGUCACAAAUCCAACUGGAAACACUGCUCUGCCACACGCUAUAACUUUCCUAGUGGUGCACUUGCAGCAUGCCGUCCCUGAAGGACAUUAGUUGGCUGAAAUAGCAACCUUGCAAGCAUGAGGUGGAAAUUUUUCCACUUCGGAGCAAAAAGAGCUGAAGCACCUCUUCUUGCUAUGAAGACAUGUGAUACUUCUACAGGGGAACUGUGCAAAUGACCUGAUUUUAGUACCUUGUAUCUGUUGUGGUUUCCCCAUAACAUUUCAGCAAUUGAGAAAAAAAAAAAAAAGGCAAAAAAAAAAAAGCUCACCAACACAGAAUUAAAGCUGCUAAGAAACUGAAAAACAACCGUAUGGCUUGUUUUUAAACUUAGAUAUAUCCCGUACAAGGGUCAGCUGCAGACGCAGUGCACAAUCCAGUUAGGUUCUGAAUUCAUAUUUUCUACGAGAUUCUUUCAAGUACCUAAGGUUAAAAACCUUAUACUAGAGUCGACAUUAAGCUACCAUAUUUGCAAAUGAUGGCCUUUCUCUGCUGGACAGUUAGCAUGUACAUGAACAUCUGCACAAAUAAAUAGUGUAACAAAACUGUUUCUACA
rnacentral:lncRNA from 1 species